rnacentral:rRNA from 1 species
GUCUCAGUUCGGAUUGGAGUCAGCAACUCGACUCCAUGAAGCUGGAUUCGCUAGUAAUCGCGCAUCAGCCAUGGCGCGGUGAAUACGUUCCCGGGCCUUGUACACACCGCCCGUCAAGCCAUGGGAGCCGGGGGUGCCUGAAGUACGUGACCGCGAGGAGCGUCCUAGGGCAAAACUGGUGACUGGGGCUAAGUCGUAACAAGGUAAC